AAUGAACGUUGGCGGCGUGGAUUAGGCAUGCAAGUCGAGCGAGAACCGUAGCAAUACGGGGACAGCGGCGCAAGGGAGAGUAAUACGUGGAUACCUACCCUCGGGUCCGGGAUAGCUGCGGGAAACUGCAGGUAAUACCGGAUGACAUCUCCGGAUCAAAGGUGUGAUUCCGCCCGGGGAGGGGUCCGCGUCCUAUUAGCUAGUUGGUGAGGUAACGGCUCACCAAGGCUGUGAUGGGUACGGGGUGUGAGAGCAUGCCCCCGCUCACUGGGACUGAGACACUGCCCAGACACCUACGGGUGGCUGCAGUCGAGAAUCUUCGGCAAUGGGCGCAAGCCUGACCGAGCGACGCCGCGUGCGAGAUGAAGGCCUUCGGGUUGUAAAUCGCUGUCAGAGGGGAGGAAAUGCCGGUGGGUUCUCUCAUCGGUUUGACCUAUCCUCAGAGGAAGGACGGGCUAAGUUCGUGCCAGCCGCCGCUGUAA
rnacentral:rRNA from 1 species